CUUGGCUGGAGGCAUGGCCCAAACUUGUAUGUGAGUGUGUGUGUUGACUAUAAAAUGAGGCUUAGACACCUUCAUUUCUCACUCACAAAAUCUGCCAUCAUCUUCCUCUUCUUCCUCUCUCUCUCUCUCUCUCUCUCUCUCUCUCUCUCUCUCAAUCUUGAUCUCUAUAUCCCUUUCUAUCUCCCUUAGAUUGAAUAACCACCAUUUCCACCACCUACUGUUGUCACAAGCUCCUCCGUCCAGCACCAAUCUUGCACCAUCACUACCAUAUUGGUGCCACCGAAACUAAAUUUUCUCGGAGAUUCAUAUUCACGGAAAUACUACUCGACCUUCUCGCAUCCAUUCCAGAACACUAAUCGUCUAUCGAACGUUAAGGUAGUGGCGCAUGAGCAUAGAUGUGAUGUUUUGGACGAGGGAUUACGGAUAUAGGCCUGUAGAUAUGAAAUAAUGUAGUAAGGCUUAUAUUGUACUGUUUAUGCUUUUGAUCUGUACGAACAUGACAUCCCAAGUCUUUUAAUGAAAUACAUUUCUAUGGAAAUGCUUUUGAUAAAUCUUUAUCAUAUCUUGUUUUGGGACAAAUUCCGCAACACUUUCAUUUAAAAUGUAACUCUGAUUUUUAAACAAAGCAUAAACAAACCGGUCUUUUCUGGCCGUGAUUUUGGGGAUGUCACAUACUAUUGUUCCUUCUAUAAUCUAAUAACACUCUCAUGCUAUCUACCAACAUAGUGAAUGCUACGGUUACACCCGCAGUCUUACAACAUUCUAGCACUAUCUGCCAACCUUGUGAAUGCUACGGCUACACCCGCAGACUUACAACACUCUAACAUUAUCUGUCAACCUUGUGAAUGCUACGGCUACACCCGCAAACUUAUAACACUCUAACACUAUCUGCCAACCUUGUGAAUGCUACGGCUACACCCACAGACUUACAACACUCUAACACUAUCUGUCAACCUUGUGAAUGCUAUGGCUACACUCGCAGACUUACAACACUCUAACACUAUCUGUCAACCUUGUGAAUGCUACGGCUACACCCGCAGACUUACAACACUCUAAAACUAUCUGUCAACCUUGUGAAUGCUACGGCUACACCCGUAAACUUACAACAUUCUAAAACUAUCUGUCAACCUUGUGAAUGUUACGGCUACACCCGCAGACUUACAACACUCUAAAACUAUUUGUCAACCUUGUGAAUGCUAUAGCUACACCCGCAAACUUAUAACACUCUAACACUAUCUAUCAAUCGUGUGAAUGCUAUGACUACACCCGCAGACUUACAACACUUCCUCACACUAUCUGGUUUCCAGAGAAUGCUAUGGCUAUCCUACAGUCUCACAACACUGUCCACGUUGUCUCAAUCGCCGAUUACCAAUUCGAACACAUCCAUCAUUGAACACACACACAUGAUCUAACAUCCCAACUGAACUCAUGUUCUGACUAGAAUCCCCAACCUGGUUCCAUAAGGCCUGCUAUCAAACAUUCCGAGAACGCGAUCUCAUCAUCGACAAGUUUUCCGAACUUCCAACUCACACUAUUGUAACAACGUAAUUUUCAAAACAAAAUUUUCAUUUUUCAACAACCAUUUUCAUAUAAAAUAUUUUCAAAAAUAUCCAACAAUAGUUAUCAAAACAUAUCGUAUCCCAAGAUCACAAAAAUCAAAACCUCUCUCUAAUGUCGACGACCCUUCCACUCGGCACCGUCGGAUCACUAAGGCCGAAUUUCGUCCCUACUCGACGGGUGGGUCUUGCAGUCAAGCUCCCUUCUGCCUUUGCACUCGAGGGCCAAUCUCUAUCCGGCCCGAGGAAACCUUUGCACGCCUCCGUUACCUUUUGGGAGGCCUAUGCCCCAUAGAACCUGUCUACCUGAGACUGUCCCUUGGCCCGUACAUCCUGACACAAGGUUAGAAUUCUAGCUCUUCCAAAGUGGUAUCUCACUGAUGGCUCGGACCCCCCCCCCCCCCGGAAGCAUGUCGGCGCCUUCCCAUGGUCCUCACUAGUACCUGAAACACAUAACACAACAACUGUAAGCAUAAAUGCUUAGUGAGUUCCCCAAAAUACCACUUACAAACAUACACCUUUCCAGGCCAUACUUCACACGACCUUCCGGUCCAUGUGUCUCAGGGGACUUCUGUCCCAACCCGGUAAACCUUCCGGUCCUACCCGUGUUGACCUUCCGGUCCAUAUCAUAAUGCCUUCCGGCCCAUAUCAAACAUAACAUGUAUAUCACAUACAUAGCGCAUACGAAACAGACAACUCAUAGCAUGUAACGCACAUAUCUCAUAGCACACCAGACCUUCCGGUCACACAUAGGUACCUUUCCAGGUAUAAUAUAGUGAGAAGACUUACCUCAUAUGAUGUCUAGAACCUCACGUGCUCGAUAUCUCUGAAUCUCGAAACGACAACCUAGCCUCGCCUAAUCACAACAAAUAAUCAUUCUAAUUAUUAACGGCUUUCAAGGCUAUGCUACACCCUUUUCCACUAUCCCAUAGAAGGGUAAAAGACCAUUUCACCCCUCCCUGACUCAAAAGUCCACAUGUUGACCAAAACCCUAAAAGUCAACAAAAGUCAACAGCAAGCAAUACGCGGGGUGUACCAGCUCCUGUACGCGGGGCGUACCCUUGCAUUCCAGAAACGGGGGACGCGACCCAAUACGCGGCGCGUACUGGGAUUACGCCCAACGUACAUCCCAGUUUCUUACUUCCUCAUUCUAAUGUCUUAAACGAUUAAGACAUAACCCCAUAUUCCAGAUCUGGCCAUUUUAAUAUCUCUAAAUCCAUAAAGUCGAAACCUUUAAGCCUUUGCAUGGCUAUAAAGGUUCCCCACACCUUCUAACACCUUUCCUUUCUCCUCCAAAAGUCUAGAUCUCAUGCAUGGCUCAACAUUCACGUCCAAGAUUGCAUUUUUAUGAACUUACAACUCAUAUAGUCCUGGAAUAUGAUAGAUCUAGGCCAGUGGAGGCUAUUUGCUCAUAAAAUCUCCAUCUUGGGACCAAAAACCCUAGAAAUUGGCCCAAGAAGCACACCACACAAACUACAAGGCAAGAUCUGAACUUUUUACCUCGGGAAGAGGCUCCAACCUUUGUAGUCCUUAGAUCUACACUUGUCCACCCACUUCUAGCUUCCACAAUGGUCUCCUCUACUCUUUCACCACCUGGGAAUGACACUUUGAAGCUUAGAACACUCACACCCAAGCUAAAAAUGAAGGAAAUACUCUCUUAGGGUUUCUUUCUGAAAGAUGGUGGCUGAGGGACAAGACCAUCUCAUUCCUUUUAUAGCCUUCAAGUCAUAUUAGGGUUUUGAAUAUGGGCCGGUUACGCCCGGCGUAACCUUAGGUACGCCCAGCGUACCCGGAUGGACCCGCGUACAAAAUAAGCGUGCGAGUACGUGUAGCGUACUCCUUGUACUCCCAGCGUACUCACAAGCUUAGUACUUAACACAAAGGGAACUAAUAUGACAACUUGGAAAAGAUGAAGGGUUAAAUGGUUGAACCUGAAUUCCGGGAUGUUACAAUUCUCCCCCACUAGAACCAGACUUCGUCCCCGAAGUCUUAUACCGAAAACAACUCCAGAUGCUGCUCCCGCAUCUCCGACUCUGACUCCCACGUCAGCUCGGACCCCUUCCGAUGCUGUCACUGAACCUGCGCCAAUGACACCUCAUUGUUCCUCAGAACCUUGAUCUUCCGAUCCCGAAUCGCGAUUGGUCUCUCGGCAUAAUUCAGGCCUGCAUCCACCUGAAUAUCCUUCAGAGGCAUUACCGCUGACUCGUCGGCUAUACACUUCCUCAACUGAGACACGUGGAAGGUAUCAUGAAUCUGGCUCAACUCCGCAGGUAGCUCCAGAUGAUAUGCUACUCUGCCUACCCUCGCAAUCACUCUAAACGGCCCAAUAUACUGGAACCCCAGCUUGCCCCUCUUCCUGAAUCGGAUCACUCAUUUCCAAGGAGAUACCUUCAGGAGCACGAAAUCACCAACCUGGAACUCGAGCUCAGACCGUCGCCUAUCCGCAUAACUCUUCUGGUGACUCUGAGCGGUCAACAACCUCUUUCGGACUUGCUGUAUCUGCUCUGUCGUCUGGAGCACAAUCUAUGUACUACCCAUCACGCAUUGCCCUACUUCUCCCCAACAUAUGGGGGUCCGACACCUCCUCCCAUACAACAGCUCAAAAGGUGGCAUACCGAUGCUCGAGUGAUGGCUGUUGUUGUAGGAAAACUCAACCAAGGGCAAAUACGUGUCCCAACUUCGGCCGAAAUCCAAUACACACGCCCGAAGCAUGUCCUCGAGCGUCCGAAUCGUCCGCUCACUCUGUCCGUCCGUCUGUGGGUGGUAUGCGGUACUGAAAUGCAGCCUCGUACCCAACUCCUCGUGAAAUUUCUUCCAAAAUAUGGAAGUAAAUCGCACAUCUCAAUCUGAAACAAUCGAGAUCGGAACUCCAUGCCGCGAUACCACAUCCCUCACAUACAGCUAUGUCAGCCUCUCAGCAAAAGAGCUCUCACUGAUAGCAAGAAAGUGAGCGCUCUUCGUCAACCUGUCCACAAUCACCCAAAUUGCAUCGACACCUCUAGCAGUCCUUGGCAAUUUGGUGAUAAAAUCCAUGGUAACUUGCUCCCACUUCCACUCGAGAAUCUUUAACGGCUGCAGCUUACCAUGCGGACGCUGGUGCUCGGCCUUAACCUUGUGACAGGUCAAGCACCUCUCUACGAACCAUGCAACAUCCCUCUUCAUACAGAGCCACCAAUACUCCUUCUUUAAAUCCAAGAACAUCUUAGUGGCCCCGAGAUGGAUCGAGAACUUCGACCUAUGGGCCUCCUCCAUCAAGAUUGUACGCGCUCCGCCCACAAACGGUACCCAAAUCCGGCCCUGAAAAGUCAUAAGUCCUCGACUAUCGGUAACAAACUCUGAUACCUGCCCGAUCACCCGCUCCCUUUUGCGGUUCUCCGGUCUCACUGCCUCUGCCUGGGCCCCUCGUAUAGUGUCCAACACCAGAGUCAUCACUGUCAACCUCAUACAAACGUCUCGAAUCGGGGCGCUCUCCGCCCUACGGCUCAAAGCAUCGGCUACAACAUUAGCCUUGCCUGGGUGGUACAGGAUCUCACAAUCGUAAUCCUUUACCACAUCCAACCAUCUCCUAUGGCGCAUAUUCAGGUUGGGCUGAUCCAUCAAGUACUUCAGACUCUUGUGGUCCGUGUAUAUGGUACACCGAACCCCAUACAGAUAGUGACGCCAGAUCUUGAGGGCGAACACCACAACCCCCAGCUCCAGAUCGUGGGUGGGAUACCUCGACUCAUGAGGCUUCAGCUGCCUCGAAGCAUAUGUUAUCACAUGCCCCAUCUGCAUAAGCACUGCUCCCAAACCGGAUAUCGAUGCAUCGCAGUACACCACAAAAUCCUCCAUCCCUUCUAGGAGUGCGAGCAUCGGGGCUUCGUACAACUUCUGGCGAAGUGUCUCAAAUGAGGUCUGCUGCUCCGGACCCCAGGAAAAAGCGACACCCUUCCGGGUCAUCUUGGUAAGUGGCACGAUGAUCUUGGAGAAAUCCUUAAUAAAUCUCCGAUAAUAACCGGCCAAUCCCAAAAAGCUCCUGAUCUCGGUGGGUGAUCUCGGCACCUCCCACCUCAUGACCGCCUCAAUCUUAGCCGAAUCGACCAAUAUUCCAUUAUGGUUGACGAGAUGUCCCAAAAACUGAACCUCUCGUAACCAGAACUCACACUUGGAGAAUUUGGCAUACAACCUCUCCGAUCUUAGAACUCCAAGGAUCUCCCUCAAAUGUUCCUCAUGUUGCUCUCUAGACCUCGAAUAUACCAAAAUAUCAUCAAUGAAUACGAUCACCGACCGAUCUAGCAUCGGCCUGCACACCCUGUUCAUGAGAUCCAUGAAAGCAACUGGUGCAUUGGUGAGCCCAAAAAGGCAUCACCACGAACUCGUAAUGCCCAUAACGAGUUCUGAAUGCUGUCUUCUGAAUAUCUUCAUCCCGAACCCUCAUCUGAUUAUAACCCGACCUCAAGUCUAUCUUGGAGAACCAAGACGCCCCCUGCAACUAAUUGAACAGAUCAUCGAUCCUCGGCAACGAAUAACGGUUCUUGACCGUAAACUUGUUCAACUCCCGGUAAUCAAUACACAUCCGGUGUGAACCAUCCUUCUUCUUGACAAAAAGGAUCGGCGCUCCCCAAUGUGAGCUACUCGGUCGAAUAAGCCCUUUCUCCAAUAGCUCCUGAAGCUGCGAGGAUAACUCCUGCAUCUCUGGCGGCGCGAGGUGAUAAGGCGCCUUGGCGAUAGGUGCUGCUCCCGGAACCAAAUCGAUACGGAACUCCACACCGAAAAUCUCAAGGAUACAUCCUCGAAUCACAUCCGAAGCAUGCACUACUCGCUCAUCAGCUAUGGAAACUCACAGAGGUCGACUCAACGCCUCUCGAUGGAUACUAAUGUGCUGACUAAAUGCCAAGGAAACAAAUGAUUGACUCGCACCCGAGUCAAAUAAUACCAAAGCAGGUACAUAACUCACAAGAAAAGUACCUACGCAUAUCAUCAUAUAAGCACAAUAUCUCAAACAAAGGAUAAAAUACAUAAUACAUACCAGCCACAACAUCGGGCGCCGCGCGGACCUCCUCUGCAGUCAACUGGAAAGCUCUCCCACGAGCCUUCGGAGCCUCGACCUUCACCAGUUGAACCUCGGUAACCCUAGCAGCAGGUGCAGAUCCCUGCGCUGAUCCCUGAUGUAGCUGAGGGCACUCGGCCUUCCGAUGGUCGGUCUGGUUGCAAUGGAAGCAAACCAUAAAUCCCUUGGGGCAAUCCUUGGCGAUAUGCCCCUCAUUGCCACAUUUGUAGCAAGCACCCGAUCGAUAGGCCCCCUCGUGACCCUUGCCGCACUUCCCGCAAGUGCGGCCCUUCUAGUCUCCAGUCUUCGAAUCAGCGGACUUGGUCCGCUUGGCUGCCCGGCUGAGACUGAGCCGGCCACUGAUCCAUCCUAUGAGACUCGGCCUCCUUCCUGGCCUGAGUCUCCAACUCAAUCUCCCUCUUUCGGGCAUUUUCCUGGAGCUCAGCAAAUGUCCGGUACGUCGAGUUCGACACGAACUCCCGAAUGUCCCUCCUCAGAAUGCCCAAAUACCGGCUCAUCCGUGCCUGCUCAGUGGACACCUGCUCAGGGCAGAACAUCGCCCUCUCAUGAAACUUCCGGGUGACCACAGUAACCGAAUCAUUACCCUGCUUAAGGGUCAAGAACUCCUGAACCAACCGUUCCCUCUCCACCGGGGGAACAAACUCGUCUCUGAACAUGGUGGUGAACUUCUCCUAGGUCACCGCUGAAAUCUCUGCAAGAGUGAAGUUCACUGUCACAGACUUCCACCAAUCCUUCGCUCCCAAGCGAAGCUGGUUCAGAGCGAACCGUACCCUCAGGUGCUCCGGACAUGAACACGUAUAGAAGCAUCCCAUAAUGUCAGCAAUCCACCUCAUCGCAGCGAUCGGAUCCUGCGUCCCAUCAAACUCGGGUGGCUUCGUGUUGCUGAACUCCCGGAACAACAACGAGUCACCUCCCUAAGGCCUGGAAGCAGCCACAGCUGCUGUAGUUGCAGCGGAUGCGGCCUCAGUCACCGCGGCGUACCGCUCAUCAAAAGUCUCCAUUAGUGUGAUCUUGAUAGACCCAAACAUCUCCGGAAUCUCGGCCCUGAUCGCCGCAGCCACCUCAUCGUGGAUCAUUUGACGAAGCUCCUUGUCACUCACACCGCUCGUCUCAGGUCUGUGGCGUGUCCCAACCAUGAUGUCUCUGAAAUAUAAUAUAAUAAUAUCAAAGACUCAUUCGAGUAUGCUCACACUCGAAAUCUCGACCCUACUUGUUCCUUAGUGCCCAAAGGAUUCUUACCUAGAGUGCGCACUGCUUCGGUGUCUUCGGUAGUACGGGCCCUUAUACUACCGCCUACACCGCAUUAAUAUUCACCCUAAGUCCUCAUCCUUGGAUCCCAAAUCAAAAGUACUCUAUAUCUCACUGGCAUAGGCUACUCCUCGGGAGACCUCUCAUAAGCCCCUCACUGCUACCUACUCGCUCGCAAGCAUCACAUAGCAACACAUUCCUUCCUAGGCUAAGGCAUCACAAAAUCAGGCCACUCUAGUCCUAAUAUGAAUACCUAGCCAGCUCUAGCAUGCAUAAUAUAACAUAUCAUAUUUCAUAACACAUACGUAAGGACAUUUUGGGGGGUUUUACCGUUCGGGCGCUGACUGACCGUACACACUGCUCCGCUCUGGUUGUCUCAAAAUCUCUUGCUUUUUAGAAAAUUUAGUUUUUUUAUCGUUUGAAAAUUUCCUCAAAUCCUCAGUUUGAGUUCGGCUACGCCCGAAGGUGCAUCUGAAUCUCUCAAACCAAGGCUCUGAUACCAACUUGUAACAACGUAAUUUUCAAAACAAAAUUUUCAUUUUUCAAUAACCAUUUUCAUAUAAAAUAUUUUCAAAAAUAUCCAACAAUAGUUAUCAAAGCAUAUCGUAUCCCAAGAUCACAAAAAUCAAAUCCUCUCUCUAGUGUGUACGAGUCACGCCGGUGCCUUUCCAUGGUCCUCGUUAGUACCUGAAACACAUAACACAACAACUGUAAGCAUAAAUGCUUAGUGAGUUCCCCAAAAUACCACUUACAAACAUACGCCUUUCCAGGCCAUACUUCACACGAACUUCCGGUCCAUGUGUCUCAGGGGACUUCCGUCCCAACCCGGUAAACCUUCCGGUCUUACCCGUGUUGACCUUCUGGUCCAUAACUCCCUGACCUUCCGGUCCAUAUCAUAAUGCCUUCCGGCCCAUAUCAAACAUAGCAUAUAUAUCACAUACAUAGCGCAUACGAAACAGACAACUCAUAGCAUGUAACACACAUAUCUCAUAGCACACCAGACCUUCCGGUCACACAUAGGUACCUUUCCAGGUACAGUAUAGUGAGAAGACUCACCUCGUAUGAUAUCUAGAACCUCACGUGCUCGAUAUCUCUGAAUCUCGAAACGACAACCUAGCCUCGCCUAAUCACAACAAAUAAUCAUUCUAAUUAUUAACGGCUUUCAAGGCUAUGCUACACCCUUUUCCACUAUCCCACAGAAGGGUAAAAGACCAUUUCACCCCUCCCUGACUCAAAAGUCCACAUGUUGACCAAAACCCUAAAAGUCAACAACAAGCAGUACGUGGGGCGUACCGACUCCUAUACUCGGGGUGUACCCUUUGCAUUCUAGAAACGGGGGACACGACCCACUAUGCAGCGCGUACUGGGAUUACGCCCAACGUACAUCCCAGUUUCUUACUUCCUCAUUCUAAUGUCUUAAACGAUUAAGACAUAACCCCAUAUUCCAUAUCUGGCCAUUUUAAUAUCUCUAAAUCCAUAAAGUCGAAACCUUUAAGCCUUUGCAUGGCUAUAAAGGUUCCCCACACCUUCUAACACCUUUCCUUUCUCCUCAAAAAGUCUAGAUCUCAUGCAUGGCUCAACAUUCACGUCCAAGAUUGCAUUUUUAUGAACUUACAACUCAUAUAGUCCUGGAAUAUGAUAGAUCUAGGCCAGUGGAGGCUAUUUGCUCAUAAAAUCUCCAUCUUGGGACCAAAGACCCUAGAAAUUGGCCCAAGAAGCACACCACACAAACUACAAGGCAAGAUCUGAACUUUUUACCUCGGGAAGAGGCUCCAACCUUUGUAGUCCUUAGAUCUACACUUUUCCACCCACUUCUAGCUUCCACAAUGGUCUCCUAUACUCUUUCACCACCUGGGAAUGACACUUUGAAGCUUAGAACACUCACACCCAAGCUAAAAACAAAGGAAAUACUCUCUUAGGGUUUCUUUCUGAAAGAUGGUGGCUGAGGGACAAGACCAUCUCAUUCCUUUUAUAGCCUUCAAGUCAUAUUAGGGUGUUUAAUUUGGGCCGGUUACGCCCGGCGUAACCUUAGGUACUCCCAACGUACCCGGAUGGACCCGCGUACAAAAUAAGCACGCGAGUACGCGUAGCGUACUCCUUGUACGCCCAGCGUACUCACAAGCUUAGCAAUUAACACAAAGGGACCUAAUAUGACAACUUGGAAAAGAUGAAGGGUUAAAUGGUUGAACCUGAAUUCCGGGAUGUUACAAAUAUCCUCAAUCCAUACAGCCGCUUGGACUGUCUUCCUUCCUAAAAAAGAAUGCAAAACUUAUCACAGUCUCAAAACUGCUCCUGUUUUCAAAUCCCUGGAUGAUUCUCCCCCACUUAGAUUCGACUAAGUCUUCACGAUUCAUGAAAAUUGAAGAAUUCCCACUUAGAAAAAGUAUAUGCAAGGAGAUAGGUCACAACAAGGAUACUUGUCCCACAAAGAAGACCCUAAGAUGUAAAUGAGAGGAAAAACAAGAAACAAAAACUUUGUCCAAGGAAAAAAGCAGCCCAGGCUAGUACAAGUGAACCUUAAGAACAUGAUGAGGUUGAAUUGACUCCAAUUUAGGUGGAUACUACUCAAAAUGAUUUCUAGGAUACUCCUGGUGAUUAUGAUUCUAGUAUUGCAGGGGGUUGUGCUCAGUAUAUGCAAGUGACUCCUCUUAGAAGUUAUGAAGUUGAAGAUUUUGUUGGUGAGGAUGUUGAGGUUGAAAAUGUUGAAGGUGGUCAGGGUGAAGCAAAUGGUGUGGUUGAAGAUGGCCAGGGUCAAACUAAAGGUGCGGUUGAAGAUGGUCAAGGUCAAGCUAAUGGUGUGUUUGAAGAUGGUCAGGGUAUAGUUAAUGUUGUGGUUGAGGAAGCUGUUGAGGUUCCUAAUGUGCAAGUGAAGCAGGUUAGACCAAUUUUAGAUAUUUUGAAGACGAUAAGGAGAAGAAAGUCAGAGAGAAUAUUGAAGAUCAAAUUAGGAAAGAUAGUUAGUGGUGUUGAUGAUCCAGGAAAUUCCAAGGGAAAAGCUCUUAUAAUUGAUUAGGGUAGGGUGUUAUGGUUUUGUGUUUUUGUCUUUGUGUUUCUGUAAUAUGGAUUUAAUGUAAGUCUAUUAGGAUGACGGUAAUUUUGACUUUGUGUCUGUGUUUGUAUAAUAUGGUAAUUUUUUUGUAACUAUGAUAGUAUGUUACCAUUUUAGGUUAAAUGCAGAAUGUUCUCUUUUAAUGUGUUUAGCUAUAAGAAAAGGUGAUGGCUUUUUAUAUAUCCUGCAUGGAAUAGUUUGGAAUUAUGUGUAUGAAUGUCAAUGUG